ensembl:antisense Gm27209 predicted gene 27209
GAGGUGCCCCGAGGAACAACUUGACCUAGAACUGCCCAGCUUGUAGUGUUUUGAGCUGAACUUUUGUUUACCAGAGACCUGAUUUAUGGUAUUUUGAUAUAGCAGCUGCAAAAAAUUAUAUAAAUUCACAUGAUAGAGAGCUCAUCAGUUUCACCAUCUCAUUGUAUUACGCAUCUCUCUUUUUGCAAUGCUGAGGAUAGAACUCAAGGCUCUGUGUGUACUAGACAGCGCUCAUCACUGAGCCCCAUCCCCAACAUCUACUUUUUUUUUUUUUUUUUNNGUUGCAAUGUAUUCCAGCCUGGCCUGGAACUCCCUAUCCCUGAUGACUGCAAACUUCCAGUCUCCCUGCCUCUCAAGCCCAAGUGCUGAGGUUUCAGGUGCACGCUCUUAGCUGAUGGGACCUUGGGAAAGAGUGAUGGACUGGCACUAUGGAGUUACAUUCCCCCAUCCUACUAUUGCUAUUAUUUUAACUGAAAUAAAGCAUGAGUACAAGAUGGUUUAAAUCAUAAAACAUUAUGAAAUGUAAAAGAUCUCUGUUAUAAUUUUAUUUACUUGAUUAUUUAUGGUCCUGGACGUGGAAGCAUUUGCUCUCUCAUGGAAUGACUGCCCAAGUACUAAAGUUACAAUGUCAAAGUAAGUCUUGGAGGGGAAUAAGAGUUUAUACCAGUUUUGUUUUUCUUCUCCUCCCUCUCCUCUCAGAUACAGGGUCUCUCUGAAUAGCCUUGUCUGUCCUGGAAUUCACUAAGUAGACCAGGCUGGCCUUGAACUCCCAGAGAUCCACCUGCUUCUGCCUCUCCAGUACUGGGAUGAAAGGCCUGCACCACUGCCUAGCCUUUUUUUUUUUUUAAUUUUUUAUUAGGUAUUUUCCUCGUUUACAUUUCC